AAGUCGUAACAAGGUUUCCGUAGGUGAACCUGCGGAAGGAUCAUUACAAAUCCAUCCACGUCUCAUAUCCUGAGACCACGUUGAAAUGUUCCCCAGAGCCGCUUCCCUCUGGGCCGCCACCUGCUUCGGCAGGCCGGCCCCUUGGAUCAGGAUGCUCUGGGCUGUUAAACUAGUCACCUCUGUUGCUCAAAUGUAUCUUGAUUUCAAUCAAAUGAAAACUUGUACAACUUAUAACAACGGAUCUCUUGGCUCUC
rnacentral:misc_RNA from 1 species